UACGUAGGGUGCGAGCGUUAAUCGGAAUUACUGGGCGUAAAGUGUACGCAGGCGGCUGAGCAAGUCGAGUGUGAAAGCCCCGGGCUUAACUUGGGAAUUGCGCUCGAAACUACUUGGCUGGAGAGUGGCAGAGGAAGGUGGAAUUCCACGUGUAGCGGUGAAAUGCGUAGAGAUGUGGAGGAACACCAAUGGCGAAGGCAGCCUUCUGGGCCAACACUGACGCUCAUGCACGAAAGCGUGGGGAGCAAACAGG
rnacentral:rRNA from 1 species